rnacentral:rRNA from 1 species
CAGCCGUAAACUAUGCGCGUUAGGUGUAUCGGUGACCACGAGUUACCGAGGUGCCGAAGGGAAACCGUGAAACGUGCCGCCUGGGAAGUACGGUCGCAAGGCUGAAACUUAAAGGAAUUGGCGGGGGAGCACCACAACAGGUGGAGCCUGCGGUUUAAUUGGAUUCAACACCGUAAACUCACCAGGGAAGACUGUUACAUGAAGGCCGAGAUGAAGACUCUGCUAGAUUUUCAGAGAGGAGGUGCAUGGCGUCAGUGACU